rnacentral:rRNA from 1 species
AUUGAACGCUGGCGGCAGGCUUAACACAUGCAAGUCGAGCGGGGGAAGGUAGCUUGCUACUGGACCUAGCGGCGGACGGGUGAGUAAUGCUUAGGAAUCUGCCUAUUAGUGGGGGACAACAUCUCGAAAGGGAUGCUAAUACCGCAUACGUCCUACGGGAGAAAGCAGGGGAUCUUCGGACCUUGCGCUAAUAGAUGAGCCUACGUCGGAUUAGCUAGUUGGUGGGGUAAAGGCCUACCAAGGCGACGAUCUGUAGCGGGCCUGAGAGGAUGAGCCGCCACACUGGGACUGAGACACGGCCCAGACUCCUACGGGCGGCAGCAGUGGGGAAUAUUGGACAAUGGGGGGAACCCUGAUCCAGCCAUGCCGCGUGUGUGAAGAAGGCCUUAUGGUUGUAAAGCACUUUAAGCGAGGAGGAGGCUACUUUAGUUAAUACCCAAGAUGAGUGGACGUUACUCGCAGAAUAAGCACCGGCUAACUCUGUGCCAGCCGCCGCCGUAA